AAACUUGUGGCUUAGUGGUUUGAGUGCUGGACUAGGAUUCCAAAGACCAGAGUUUGAAUCCCAGCUUGGCCA